rnacentral:rRNA from 1 species
CUUAAAUUGAAGAGUUUGAUCAUGGCUCAGAUUGAACGCUGGCGGCAGGCCUAACACAUGCAAGUCGGGCGGUAGCACAGGAGAGCUUGCUCUCUGGGUGACGAGCGGCGGACGGGUGAGUAAUGUCUGGGAAACUGCCUGAUGGAGGGGGAUAACUACUGGAAACGGUAGCUAAUACCGCAUAACCUCGCAAGAGCAAAGAGGGGGACCUUCGGGCCUCUCGCCAUCAGAUGUGCCCAGAUGGGAUUAGCUAGUAGGUGAGGUAAUGGCUCACCUAGGCGACGAUCCCUAGCUGGUCUGAGAGGAUGACCAGCCACACUGGAACUGAGACACGGUCCAGACUCCUACGGGAGGCAGCAGUGGGGAAUAUUGCACAAUGGGCGCAAGCCUGAUGCAGCCAUGCCGCGUGUGUGAAGAAGGCCUUCGGGUUGUAAAGCACUUUCAGCGGGGAGGAAGGCGGUAAGGUUAAUAACCUUAUCGAUUGACGUUACCCGCAGAAGAAGCACCGGCUAACUCCGUGCCAGCAGCCGCGGUAAUACGGAGGGUGCAAGCGUUAAUCGGAAUGACUGGGCGUAAAGCGCACGCAGGCGGUCUGUUAAGUUGGAUGUGAAAUCCCCGGGCUUAACCUGGGAACUGCAUUCAAAACUGACAGGCUAGAGUCUUGUAGAGGGGGGUAGAAUUCCAGGUGUAGCGGUGAAAUGCGUAGAGAUCUGGAGGAAUACCGGUGGCGAAGGCGGCCCCCUGGACAAAGACUGACGCUCAGGUGCGAAAGCGUGGGGAGCAAACAGGAUUAGAUACCCUGGUAGUCCACGCUGUAAACGAUGUCGAUUUGGAGGUUGUGCCCUUGAGGCGUGGCUUCCGGAGCUAACGCGUUAAAUCGACCGCCUGGGGAGUACGGCCGCAAGGUUAAAACUCAAAUGAAUUGACGGGGGCCCGCACAAGCGGUGGAGCAUGUGGUUUAAUUCGAUGCAACGCGAAGAACCUUACCUACUCUUGACAUCCAGAGAACUUAGCAGAGAUGCUUUGGUGCCUUCGGGAACUCUGAGACAGGUGCUGCAUGGCUGUCGUCAGCUCGUGUUGUGAAAUGUUGGGUUAAGUCCCGCAACGAGCGCAACCCUUAUCCUUUGUUGCCAGCGAUUCGGUCGGGAACUCAAAGGAGACUGCCGGUGAUAAACCGGAGGAAGGUGGGGAUGACGUCAAGUCAUCAUGGCCCUUACGAGUAGGGCUACACACGUGCUACAAUGGCGUAUACAAAGAGAAGCGACCUCGCGAGAGCAAGCGGACCUUAUAAAGUACGUCGUAGUCCGGAUUGGAGUCUGCAACUCGACUCCAUGAAGUCGGAAUCGCUAGUAAUCGUAGAUCAGAAUGCUACGGUGAAUACGUUCCCGGGCCUUGUACACACCGCCCGUCACACCAUGGGAGUGGGUUGCAAAAGAAGUAGGUAGCUUAACCUUCGGGAGGGCGCUUACCACUUUGUGAUUCAUGACUGGGGUGAAGUCGUAACAAGGUAACCGUAGGGGAACCUGCGGUUGGAUCACCUCCUUACCAAGAAG